rnacentral:rRNA from 1 species
UGGUGGAGUGAUUUGUCUGCUUAAUUGCGAUAACGAACGAGACCUUAACCUGCUAAAUAGCCCGUACCGCUCCGGCGGUGCGCCGGCUUCUUAGAGGGACCAUCGGCUCAAGCCGACGGAAGUUUGAGGCAAUAACA